UGACAGGAGCCCCACACCUCAGACUGGGAGAGACCCCCAGGAAAGGUCAGGGUUGUUAUAGGAAUGUGUGGCAGGACACAUCCUAAACCUCCUGCCUUGCGUGAGGGACCUUCUCAGCAGGACCCAACCGGCGGUGCUGCCGCUGGGGACCUGCAUCACCAGGAUACUUGCUGAGGCCUCAUCCAGCAACUUGAGGACUCUUCUGCUGCACAUCCCCUGAGCACUGCCUGGGGAGGAGACAGCCUGAACACAGCCCAGUAUCCAGUGGGCUUGUUACUCAGCAGGAUCAGCAUGGCCAAGGUGCAAGAAGCAGGUGGGAAAACCCAACCCUUUGUUUCCCAUUGCCAAUUCCCAGGCAGAGCCAGGGCCUGGCUCUGCCCGUGGAGGCUUUCCCACGGAUGCUGCACAACAGCCACACAGCCGGACAACCGCACAGGCAGCAGGUGAAGCACCACGACAG